rnacentral:rRNA from 1 species
CUUUGUGACAGUCGCAUGAGUGAAAGGUAGCCAUUCCGUCCAACCUGGCAUAUAUAAGCAGUUUACCAGCGGAUUAGUAGUUAGGUGGGUGACCACUAGCGAAUCCCCGCUGUCGUAUGUU